AUCCUGGCUCAGAUUGAACGCUGGCGGAAUGCUUUACACAUGCAAGUCGAACGGCAGCACGGACUUCGGUCUGGUGGCGAGUGGCGAACGGGUGAGUAAUACAUCGGAACGUGCCCGGACGUGGGGGAUAACUACUCGAAAGAGUGGCUAAUACCGCAUACGAUCCAAGGAUGAAAGCGGGGGAUCGCAAGACCUCGCGCGUUUGGAGCGGCCGAUGGCAGAUUAGGUAGUUGGUGAGGUAAAGGCUUACCAAGCCCGCGAUCUGUAGCUGGUCUGAGAGGAUGAUCAGCCACACUGGGACUGAGACACGGCCCAGACUCCUACGGGAGGCAGCAGUGGGGAAUUUUGGACAAUGGGCGAAAGCCUGAUCCAGCCAUUCCGCGUGCAGGAUGAAGGCCCUCGGGUUGUAAACUGCUUUUGUACGGAACGAAAAAGCUCUUGCUAAUACCAGGAGUUCAUGACGGUACCGUAAGAAUAAGCACCGGCUAACUACGUG
rnacentral:rRNA from 1 species